UGGGGUGUGGCUCAGCGAUAGAGGACUCGCCUAGCUCAUGCGAGGCCCUGGGUUUGAUCCUCAGCACCACAU
rnacentral:tRNA from 1 species